UAAAAUCAUCCUCCAUGGAAAAAUACUCUGAUUGCUCUUUUCCUUUUAAACUUGUUACACUUGUCUAAAUAGUUACGCUAUUCAACUCCUUUUUCUGAUACCUUCCCAGUUUUCCUGAAUUCCCUUUUAUAUGUUUACCAAAAUUACGACUCUCCGAUGGUCGUAAUUGGCAUCCUGUUCUCUGAAUUCACAAGACGCUGCCAUAUAUACAGAUGUCUUUAAUAGACAUAUCUGACUAAUAUGUUCCCCAGACACUCAUAACUUCUGGCUUAUUUGCAGGAUCUACUUCUGUUCUGGUCCUUUCCAUUUUCUAGGCUCUCUUUCACUCAGUUGCUGUACUCUCUAUCUAGCGAACUAAAACACCUUCUUGCAUAGUCUGGUCUGGCAACACUGAGAACUGGCACAGAUCUCAUCGCUUCAUCAGACUUGCAUAUGAAACUGGGAACAGCUGAGUCAAAGCCAUUUGCCCUGUUUGGACCAGAGUUCUCUGUCUAGCCAAAUGAUGUUACUUCCCAGACAAUUUCUCUUACUUACUGGUAAGAAAAGUUCAUCCAGUGCCUCAUGAUAUCCAUUGUUUUGGCUGAAAUUAAGAAGCUUGCUGAGCUCAUGUUCGUCAUGACCGUGUUCCUGGGGAAAACUGGGGGUGUUUGCCUCACCAGUCUCAUUCUGACUGGUGGCUAAAGCCAGCUUUAGUUGCUAAGAGUCACAUUGUCUGCCGGCGAAGGAUGAUCUGACCCUCUGCUCUGCACCCAUAAGGAGACUGGCUCCUUGAAGCAAAGACUUGGCCAGCUCUGAGAGCCACCCUUCCCCUCCCAGAUGACCUUUCAGCUUCUGAGCUUCCUCAAUUUGUCACAGACAUUUGUGGGACUUCAGAACAUUUGAAAGUAAAGAAGCAGAAGCUGUGUCAGAUCAAGGGUCCUUAAGUUUUUGAGUGGAAAAUGACAAGAAGAAAUUUCUCAACAACUCUUCAGCCUGAACACCGCUUAUCUUUCCUUUCAACCUACUGUUGAAUGAAGUACCAUUUCUAGCUAAGGGAGGCACUAUUUGACAGAACAAAAGGUAUCUCUCCAUGCCUGUCAAGCUCAAGGAUAUCUGGAAGUACUGCAAAACUGGGAUAACCUCACAGCCAUUCUGGGAUCUGCUCUGCACAGCCAGAGAUGCCACUGACAGUUUUUAGAUAGAAGGAAGCUGAGGCUAAAGAGCAGAGAAUAUUUCUUGCCCUACAUUGUUCUUGAAGACUAUUUCUGGCACACAGGAAGGUCUCACAAAAUUACCAUCAAACUUAUUUUAGCUAAUUCCAUAUGUGACUUGAAGUACUCCAGAGGUGUGUGUCAAGCCUCGGAGAACUGAUGGCAAGUUUCACUCCCUGAUUAGACAUAGAAAUAAAUGUAUGACACUCUAGGGGUUGCCUGGAAGUGCUUUUCUUAUAAACAGAGGGGAAAACAGCCUUCAAAUGAUACACGAGCAAAUUAGCAGGAGUGGGUCCAAAUACUGUACUCUAAAAUGAACAUUUUGAUAAUCAUAACAAUGUGGUUUGAAAAGCAUCACUUUAAAAGGUCAGCUAUACCACCAUCUGACUGCACAUUGAAAGCAUAGCGGAUAUAUUGACUCAUACAUAUUGUUCAUUGUCAUUUGCAUUUGGUGAAAUCCCUGCAUUUUACCCAAUUUAGUAAGCAAGCACCGCCUCGGACUCCCUUGGCAAUACCUCUAAAUGCAGUUACUGUUUGUUGGGCUAAAACAACAUCUUGUCCCAUCCUGCACCAGUAAAUCACUCUUCGGUCUUUUGAUCAAUGUUUGCCUUUUCAAGCCUGUGAGUCAUUUUGCAUUAAUGGAAAGAGAGGGAGUGACACAUGAGAGCAAUGCGGGUAUUUUGAGCUGCACCUCUGGGAUACUUUUGUGCACGUUGUUCUGAACAAAACGACCAUCUGUAUCAGUUUGCUAACAGCCACUAGUGCAUCAAAAGAUCUGACUUCCUAUCUUUGUGGAUAAAGGCUGGCUUAAUUCUACAAACCCCACGCAGAGUCGUCAGGUGACGUGUCAUGAAAAGGCCUUACUGAAAACAAGCACACUUUUUGAAACCCAGCAUUUUUUUCAAAAUUGUCCUCAGCAUCUGACCGCAUGGCCUUUUCCAUAUUUUUCUGCAUAUCACCCAUCACUGUUCAGCUUCCCAAUAGUCAUGUCAGUGAUGUUUCCAACCAGAAUACGGCGGAAGCUGUCCUCACCCUUCCGGGGGCUACACCUGAAGAGUAAGCAAAUUUUGUGGGUGUUUAAGCCUUUUUUAAUUUUCUAUGAGCAAUGUAAAAAUGACUCAUUCUUGCUUUGGCUGGAAUAUAUAAUUGGUAAACAUUGGUGGGGAGCAAUCAUAUUUCUAAAUUUGUAAAUAUAAACAGUCCAUAAUGCACCAA